AGAGCGGCAAAGCUCAAAUUUGAAUCUGGUACCUUUGGUGCCCGAGUUGUAAUUUGUGAGAGUACCACUUUGGGACUGUACUUUGCCUAUGUUCCUUGGAACAGGACGUCAUGGAGGGUGAGAAUCCCGUGUGGCGAGGGUGUCAGUUCUUUGUAAAGGGUGCUCGAAGAGUCGAGUUGUUUGGGAAUGCAGCUCUAAGUGGGUGGUAAAUUCCAUCUAAAGCUAAAUACAGGCGAGAGACGAUAGCCAACAAGUACAGUGAUGGAAAGAUGAAAAGACUUUGGAAAAAGAUUGAAAAGUACGUGAAAUUGUGGAAGGGAAGGCCUUUGAUCCGACUUGGGUUUUGCGCCCCUGCCCCCCGGGGGCUGGGAACCUCGCACUCCUGGGCCGCCUCGGUUUUGGGGCCGGAAAAACCAGGAAGGGGCCUGCCCCCGGGAAAGGGUUACCCGGGGAAACGCACCGGACCGAGACGGGAAACUGGUCUCAAAGGGCGAAAUGGGUAUUGCCCCCGUCUGA
rnacentral:rRNA from 1 species